CCUACGGGAGGCAGCAGUGGGGAAUAUUGGACAAUGGGGGCAACCCUGAUCCAGCCAUGCCGCGUGUGUGAAGAAGGCCCUCGGGUUGUAAAGCACUUUCAGUGAGGAAGAACGCCUGGUGGUUAAUACCCAUCAGGAAAGACAUCACUCACAGAAGAAGCACCGGCUAACUCCGUGCCAGCAGCCGCGGUAAUACGGAGGGUGCGAGCGUUAAUCGGAAUUACUGGGCGUAAAGCGCGCGUAGGUGGCUUGAUAAGCCGGUUGUGAAAGCCCCGGGCUCAACCUGGGAACGGCAUCCGGAACUGUCAAGCUAGAGUGCAGGAGAGGAAGGUAGAAUUCCCGGUGUAGCGAUGAAAUGCGUAGAGAUCGGGAGGAAUACCAGUGGCGAAGGCGGCCUUCUGGACUGACACUGACACUGAGGUGCGAAAGCGUGGGUAGCAAACAGGAUUAGAUACCCUGGUAGUC
rnacentral:rRNA from 1 species